rnacentral:rRNA from 1 species
AGUGAACGCUGGCGGUAGGCCUAACACAUGCAAGUCGAACGGCAGCACAGUAAGAGCUUGCUCUUACGGGUGGCGAGUGGCGGACGGGUGAGGAAUACAUCGGAAUCUACUUUUUCGUGGGGGAUAACGUAGGGAAACUUACGCUAAUACCGCAUACGACCUACGGGUGAAAGCAGGGGAUCUUCGGACCUUGCGCGAUUGAAUGAGCCGAUGUCGGAUUAGCUAGUUGGCGGGGUAAAGGCCCACCAAGGCGACGAUCCGUAGCUGGUCUGAGAGGAUGAUCAGCCACACUGGAACUGAGACACGGUCCAGACUCCUACGGGAGGCAGCAGUGGGGAAUAUUGGACAAUGGGCGAAAGCCUGAUCCAGCCAUACCGCGUGAGUGAAGAAGGCCUUCGGGUUGUAAAGCCCUUUUGCUGGGAAAGAAAAGCAGCAGGUUAAUACCCCGCUGUUCUGACGGUACCCAAAGAAUAAGCACCGGCUAACUUCGUG